CCCGCCGUCCAUACGUCUGAUUUUAUUAUUUGGGAGCGGAUCAAAUCGGCGGCUCGAGCGGUGACGGCGGCGACGGCUCGAGCUUGCAGGGGCUGGGGGCAGAUCCGGAGGCGGGGGUCGCCGGUGACGACGAGGAAGGCGGAGCACGGGCGGAUCCAUGGCAUCCGCAGCUCCUGGGCACAAAGGAGAUAGGGAGGCCAGGGAGAGAAGAAGGAAGAAAGGAGGGGUUGUGCGGCGACCUAGCGAGGAGCUCGCCGGAGCUGGGCGAAGGCGGACUGGCGUGGGAGACGGAGGGGUCCGGCGCAGUCCUUGCAGGUGGAGGCAGGCGUCGAAGCAGAGGACGAGAGGAUCCCCAGCCUAAUUGUGGCAUGCACUCAGCUUCCCCGAUCCAUCCCCUCCUACCCAUCCGGCCCUUCCUCGAUGGCCCGCAUGCGACGAGCCCCUACGCGGGGUAAGAAGGGGGAUCGCGCGAGGUGGAGCACUCCAGCCCCCUCCUAGCCCUACCACGAAAUUUGUUGAAGCUAAAGAUGAAGAGGAACUCGUGGAAGAGGAAAAAAUGACAUGGUAGAAACUCAUUCACACAUAUCAGGGUCAUAAUGAGAGGAUUGAUCUGCUUGAUUCGCUCCUGAUGGUCGGUGGAUUGUUUCUGGUAGGGCUAAGAGUUCUGUGAAGGUAAGAUUUUGAUCCAACCUAUUAAGCAGUACCACACAAAUUACAGGAGAAUCUGUUGUUUGGUCCAACCUAUAAAGGUGCCAUAUAUGCUCAGUUGCUCACAACAGUGCUAAUAUUAACAAGGUGAAUAAACUCCUGCUCUAGCGGAAGAUAUCCUUUAUAUUUUUGGGGUCACUGAUACCUGUACAAAAACAUAAGAUGUUUUCCUAGAUAACAUCUUUCCUCCAAAAUAAUUUAUAUAUCAUCUAGACUUGGUUAGUUGUAACUUUUGCUUUCUGUUCUUUCCACACGCUUCUGUAGGUUCAAAUGACAAUUGUUAAAUUUUGGGACCUUAAGACUUUUUAGUUGAUUGCAUCCUCUAGACCGGGAGGUAUAAUAGCAUAUCCCAAUUGUCUAAUUGAUGAUUCAGAAAGCUCUGGCUCUACUCAUGUAUAUCAGUUUAUAUUCGGAUUGUGAAGUACUCCUUCUAUAAAGAAAUAUAAGAGCGUUUAGUUCUAUAAAACAUAUUUAUAUGUAGUUAUCCAACAAAUUUAUGUCCUAAAAUCUUACAACUUCUCUUAAGCUGUUUUUUUGCAGGAAAGCUGUAUUUGAUCAUAACCUUGGCUUAAAUGCAAUUUAAUUUCAACCUCAAAUUUGGUGAUUUUUUGAAUGGGCACAACUGUGUCGGUAGAGGACUAGAGGUUGACAGUUAUGAAUUUUGUGAUAAUCUUUGGUUAUACUGUUAUAUAUAGCACUUUCCAGGUUAUAUGGUUCAAAUUCUUUGAGCCAAUUCACAAUGACCAUUCCAGAUUUGGGCCUUGCAUUUUUAAAUUAUUUUGUAACAUUUUGGUUGAUCUUUGAUGCUGCUCCUUAAUUUUUUACAUUGACUGGUGUAGAACUAAAUGAGUGUUGCCAUUCAAGGGAAGCCCCAAGCUUUUAAACAGUA